CCAUUUGUGCUUCUGAUGCAGU
rnacentral:miRNA from 1 species